AUUGAACGCUGGCGGCAGGCCUAACACAUGCAAGUCGAACGAGUGGCGGACGGGUGAGUAAUGUCUGGGAAACUGCCUGAUGGAGGGGGAUAACUACUGGAAACGGUAGCUAAUACCGCCUACCAUCGGAUGUGCCCAGAUGGGAUAAGCUAGUAGGUGGGGUAAAGGCUCACCUAGGCGCCGAUCCCUAGAUGGUCUGAGAGGAUGACAAGCGACACUGGAACUGAGACACGGUCCAGACGCCUGCGGGAGGCAGCAGUGGGGAAUAUUGCACAAUGAGCGCAAGCCUGAUGCAUGCAUACCGCGUGUAUGAAGAAAGCCUACGGAUUGUAAAGUACAUUCAGCGGGGAGGCGUUACCCGCAGAAGAAGCACCGGCUAACUCCGUGCCAGCAGCCGCGAUAAUC
rnacentral:rRNA from 1 species